GACGAACGCUGGCGGCGUGCUUAACACAUGCAAGUCGAACGGAAAGGCCCUGCUUUUGUGGGGCGCUCGAGUGGCGAACGGGUGAGUAACACGUGAGUAACCUGCCCUUGACUUUGGGAUAACUUCAGGAAACUGGGGCUAUUACCGGGUAGGAGCUCCUGCUGCAUGGGGGGGGUUGGAAAGUUUCGGCGGUUGGGGAUGGACUCGCGGGUUAUGAGCUUGUUGGUGGGGUAGUGGCUUUCCAAGGGUUUGACGGCUAGCCGGCCUGGGAGGGUGAACGGGCACAAUGGGACUGAGAGACGGACCAGAAGCCUACGGGAGGCAGCAGGGGAGAAUCUUGCAGAGUGGGCGGAAGCCUGAUGCGGAAACGCUGCGUGCGGGAUGACGGCCUUCGGGGUGUAAACCGCUUUCGCCUGAGACGAAGCGUGAGUGACGGUAAUGGGUAAAGAAGCACCGGCUAACUACGUG
rnacentral:rRNA from 1 species